rnacentral:rRNA from 1 species
GGCUCAGGACGAAUGCUGGCUGCGUGCUUAACACAUGCAAGUCGAACGGUGAACAGGGGCUUGCCCCUGGGAUCAGUGGCGAACGGGUGAGUAACACGUGGGCAACCUGCCCCUCACUCUGGGAUAACUCCGGGAAACCGGGGCUAAUACCGGAUACGACCUUGAGCGACAUCGCUCGAGGUGGAAAGAACUUCGGUGAGGGAUGGGCCCGCGGCCUAUCAGCUAGUUGGUGGGGUAACGGCCCACCAAGGCGACGACGGGUAGCCGGCCUGAGAGGGCGACCGGCCACACUGGGACUGAGACACGGCCCAGACUCCUACGGGAGGCAGCAGUGGGGAAUAUUGCGCAAUGGGCGAAAGCCUGACGCAGCGACGCAGCGUGAGGGACGAAGGCCUUCGGGUUGUAAACCUCUUUCAGCGGGGACGAAGCGAAAGUGACGGUACCCGCAGAAGAAGCACCGGCUAACUACGUGCCAGCAGCCGCGGUAAUACGUAGGGUGCAAGCAUUGUCCGGAUUUAUUGGGCGUAAAGAGCUCGUAGGCGGCUUGUCACGUCGGGUGUGAAAACUCGGGGCUUAACCCCGAGCCUGCACUCGAUACGGGCUAGCUAGAGUGUUGCAGGGGAGACUGGAAUUCCUGGUGUAGCGGUGAAAUGCGCAGAUAUCAGGAGGAACACCGGUGGCGAAGGCGGGUCUCUGGGCAACUACUGACGCUGAGGAGCGAAAGCGUGGGGAGCGAACAGGAUUAGAUACCCUGGUAGUCCACGCCGUAAACGUUGGGCGCUAGGUGUGGGGAACCUUCCACGUUCUCCGUGCCGUAGCUAACGCAUUAAGCGCC